rnacentral:rRNA from 1 species
UACAGAGGGUGCAAGCGUUGUUCGGAAUUAUUGGGCGUAAAGCGCGUGUAGGCGGCUUUGCAAGUCGGGUGUGAAAGCCCUCGGCUCAACCGAGGAAGUGCGCCCGAAACUGCAGAGCUUGAGUACCGGAGAGGGAUGCGGAAUUCCAGGUGUAGCGGUGAAAUGCGUAGAUAUCUGGAGGAACACCGGUGGCGAAGGCGGCAUCCUGGACCAACACUGACGCUGAGUGAGCGAAAGCCAGGGGAGCAAACGGG